rnacentral:piRNA from 1 species
UAUCAAAAGGCAAUGAGAUCGUAGA